rnacentral:snRNA from 1 species
GGGCAUGGGGAGGGAGAUCUCACUGGUGACACCUGUCAUUCCAUUGAUCGAUUGCCAGCUGAUCUGGCUGGCUAGGUGGCUAUCCCUCCUCCCUCACUGCUCCAGGUGUGUCCCCCAAGCUGUGUGCUAGGCUGAAGAGGACAACCAACGUUCCCCAAGUAGAGAACCGUCUUCAGUUGAGAGUAUUAAGCAAGUAGCUGUGUUCUCCUGUUAGCACCUCCCGGCAAGCUCUCAGUGUCCAAGAUGAACGGAGAAUACGCACCAUUGAGU